CUGGGGGCAACCCACACCCCUACCCCUACACCACACCACACCACACUAGCACAUCCCUGUCCCCCUCAAUUCCCGUAAUGGUGUUACUAACGAGGCAGGAAGCCGGCUCGGCAGCUGUGGCAUCAGGAAGCGGAGGCGGCGGCGACGGCGAUGGCGUGCUACAGGGAGGAGGCGCCGUGCUGGAUCUAAUGGGUUAGGCGGCAAGAACGGGCAUGUCCAUGUCUGGCGAGGAGGCGGGGACGGUUUCGCUCUCGUUUCCGUGGUUGUCGUCGGCUCCCUCCCUCAAGCGAGAAAAGCAAGAAGCGCGCCGCCUCCGCCAAGGCUGCCGACGAGGCCUCCACCAACCGCACCCGCGCUACCUCCCGACGCCAACUCCUCCGCUGGAUCCCUAUUGCUGUAUCGUUCUCCUUGGUGAGGUGGGGACUUCUCUAGGGUUUGGGGAUUGGGGGAUUUAUAGGGUUCCUCUGCCCUCCCUGCGUAUAGGAACGAAUCAGAAUUUGGUUUUUCUUUUUUUUUUCUUUACUUCAUGCGAUGGGAUUUUGCAUGGUGGUUCUGCUCCAGAUCUGGAAGCUUCAAUGGCAUGGGUAUCAUGUGAGAAGCUCCUUGCUGGUAGAUGCCCCUUGUUCUUCUGUUCCAGAUGUACAUGCUACAGGGCGACACGAGCUCCUGCUCCCUGCACUCCAUAGGUUAGCCUGCAUCGACGAGGAAUACUUGAGGACGCCAGGGGUGAAGAAGGGUGUAGCCUUUGGGAGCCUUGCCGCCAGAUCCGCCGUAUCCAGCGGCCCCGCGCGUCCCCGACAUCCCUCUUGUCGUGGUCUAGGGUGCUGCGAUGUCGUCUUGCCGUGGUCUCCAUUCGGUACUAAUUAGAGAUAUUGGAGCCAUUGUUUAAUUACUUUACGAGCAGUUCAGGCAUCAGCAUCUACAGUGUGCACUCUUGCAGGUGGAUGCACAUCUUGAUGGAAACUAGAAAAGAACAUGAGAAGAUUAUGCCAGUGGUGGUGGUGCCACUGGAAUGCCAUCCUCGACAUGUCCUUCGUCAACGUUCGUCGCCGGCGGCCAACACAAAGGGUCAACCCAGGACGACCACACCACAAUUGAUGACAGGCUUCGGUGGCAGGCGAUGCGAUGCCCUCUGGAUUGUGCUUUUUUUUUUUGGUACCGAGUGUAUAUGUGUUUGUAACGAUGAUGGCACGAUCAAUUGUAAAAACAAAGUCCAUUAUACCCGUAUUCGUGCAGUAAAAUAUUUACUACCUUAUAUAUCAGGCCCAAUCAACUACUAA